CCCAAAGGACCUGGCGGUGCCUCAUACCCACCUAGAGGAGCCUGUUCUUGAAUCGAUAAUCCCCGUUCAACCUCACCACCCCUUGUUCAACCCGCCUAUAUACCGCCGUCGUCAGCUCACCCUGUGAAGGUCUUAAAGUGAGCAAAAUGGGCACAACCCAAAACGUCAGGUCAAGGUGCAGCGUAUGCGGUGGGAAGAAAUGGGCUACAUUACCUACCCCAGGUCAUCACGGAAAGGGUUGUGAAACCAGCCCUGGAAGGUGGAUUUAGCAGUAAGAAGAAAAUAGAGAGUUCUUCUGAAGCCGGCUCUGAGGCGCGCACACACCGC
rnacentral:rRNA from 1 species